rnacentral:rRNA from 1 species
GACGAACGCUGGCGGCGUGCUUAACACAUGCAAGUCGAACGGAAAGGCCCUGCUUUUGUGGGGUGCUCGAGUGGCGAACGGGUGAGUAACACGCGAGUAACCUGCCCUUGACUUUGGGAUAACUUCAGGAAACUGGGGCUAAUACCGGAUAGGAUCUCCUGCUGCAUGGGGGGGGUUGGAAAGUGUCGGCGGUUGGGGAUGGACUCGCGGCUUAUCAGCUUGUUGGGGGGGUAGUUGCUUACCAAGCCUUUGACGGGUCGCCCGCCUGAGAGGGUGGCCGGCCACAUUGGUCCUGAGAUACGGCCCAGACUCCUACGGGCGGCAGCAGUCGGGAAUAUUGCACAAUGGGCGGAAGCCUGAUGCAGCAACGCCGCGUGCGUGAUGACGUCCUUCGGGUUGUAAACCGCUUUCGCCUGUGCCGAAGCGUGAGUGACGGUAAUGGGUCAAGAAGCACCGGCUAACUACGUG